AUUGAACGCUGGCGGCCGGCUUAACACAUGCAAGUCGAACGAGUGGCGGACGGGUGAGUAAUGCUUGGGAAUCUGGCUUAUGGAGGGGGAUAACUACGGGAAACUGUAGCUAAUACCGCGUACCAUAGGAUGAGCCCAAGGGGAAUUAGGUAGUUGGUGAGGUAACGGCUCACCAAGCCGACGAUGUCUAGCUUUGCUGAGAGGAUGACCAUGCACACUGCGACUGAGACACGGCCCAUACUCCUACGGGAGGCAGCAGUGGGGAAGAUUGCGAAAUGGGGGAAACCUGACGCAGCCAUGCAGCGUGAAUGAAGAAGGCUUUCGGGUUGUAAAGUUCUGUCGGUAGCGAGGCGUUAACUAAAGAAGAAGCACCGGCUAACUCCGGGCCAGCAGCCGCGGUAAUAC
rnacentral:rRNA from 1 species